CUUUAAAUUUUAUUCCAAGUCCUGAGUGCUGUGGUGACCCUAGGGUUCCUUCACUGCUUUGAACAUUUUGUCCCACAAAUCUCGUUUGCACGCCAUAGGCAACCCAAAGGAUCUCGAGCACUGGCAGCCCAGCAGAAAUGCUGCUGUCCCUCGAGGGAGCUGCAGCAGUGCCGGUGCAAAGGAAGGAGGUCUGGCAUCACCCAGGUCUGGCCUUGCAGAAGACUCAGCAAGGCUUCUGCAGUGCUAAAAGCCGUGGGACUUCAGCCCUUAGUCUCUUUCAACGUUUGUCAUGAAAACACAAGUCUGGUGUUUUAAAAUACAUAAAACCUAGCCUUGCUUGACUUGCAUUAGCAGAACACGUGAAACAGGCCAGUGGCCGUCCUGGAGAGUCAACGCUGGAUUUACGGAACAGCCAUGGGUGGAGGUGCUGAGAUCCCAUUAAAUCUCCCAUUAAUUGAUAGGAGAUAAAACUCAUAGUAAAGGAUCUUUGGAAAGAGCUGGUGGUGGGAAGAAAUAAAGCUGGUUCCCUGUUACCCAGCCACUCUUGGAGUAAAACAAUCUACCGUUAUUUUCUAUCACGUUACCAGCAGAGCUAACUUUAGCUGCAAAACAAGAGCCUUGAGCGACUGCAGCUGGGCAAGCCCUAAAGCGGUGUGGUUUGCUGGUACAUCUGUCCUGCCGUCCCUCCUCAGAGCGACUGCUGCUUGCUCACUUUCCAAUGAGAGACACAAGCAGAAACUUGUGGAUCCUUCUCUGGUCCUCAGCCAUGCUGUAGUUACUGCAUGUAACUGCAGCAUCUGCCUCCCGCAGAGUUCUCCAGUCUCUCCUGGUAGUCACGAUCCGACCCCUGUCACAGAAAGCCCACGUGCGACUGGGAGAGUAUUCAUCAAAAUCCUCACUGGCAUUUGUGUAGUGGCAAGAUGA
rnacentral:lncRNA from 1 species